rnacentral:lncRNA from 1 species
GGACUCUGCUCUGUCCUGAAAACCUGGAAUCAUAACAUUUCAUGGCUAGGACUAGAGUGUCCUUGGCGCUGUGUUUCUGGUCAGUGUCAAUUGUGUGUCAUAUUGAGAUGCCCCCACAAAAACUGUCAUCAUCAACAGGCGCUCCAGAGCCGCUGGUAGCCUACCAAAUUGUUGGCUCAAUGGAAUGCUUACUUGUUGAAAUACACCAACUUUGGAAGCUCUGAGUCAAGUUUGGGACAGAGGUUCCUUGCUCUCCAGGAACUCCAGGGCUAGCUGUAUGCGGACUUGCAUAAAUAACAAGGGCUAUUCCACUGACUUUGUCUCUUUUUCUCAGGUUGUCAGCGGCAGGCUGCAAUUUUAAUUCUGUAAACCGUGUAUUGCGCGUGUACUUUGGGUGGCCCUGUGCUGCGUCAGCUGGAAGGGAUCCAGAGAAAAAGACAGAGCCCUCUUUGAAGACAUCCAGAGAGAGAUCUAGGAUGUUGGGAAGGAACAAAGAAAUUCAGGCAUCUCUCCUGAGAAGAGAAAGGGAGUAGAAUGCUCCAUCAUGAUGCUAACCACAAGAAUUGACUUGACGGGACA